rnacentral:lncRNA from 1 species
ACUCCCGGUUCAAGCAAUUCUCCUGCCUCAGCCUCCCGACUAGCUGGGAUUAAAGGUGCCCACCACCAGGCCCGGCUAACUUUUAUAUUUUUAGUAGAGACGGGUUUUCACCAUGUUGACUAAGCUCCUCUCGAACUCCUGACCUCAAGUGAUCUGCCAGCCUCAGCCUCCCAAACUACUAGGAUUACAGGCGUGAAAUGAAAAUGUACAAAUGAACAAAUAACUAGAAGAGGGCUAGAGUUUAUAUCAAGCAUAUUUUUAUGCUGUUUUGUCUCUUUUUAGAGACAGAGUCUUGCCAUGUUGCCCAGGCUGAAGUGCAGUGGCUUUUUACCAGUAUAAUUCCAUUAUUAGAUCAAUCAUGGGAGUUUUGACCUGCUCUGUUCCCAACAAUAUUUUUAGUUUUACGACCAACUCUCAGUUGCAAUCUCUAUAUGGAAUUUUACAAGCAAGUUUUAUAAGUUUUAUAGAAGGCUAUAAUAUCUCUUAUGCUACAAACAAAAUUCUAAGAAAAAUUAAAAUAUAUAUACUCUCUCAUAGCAUUAUAGAAUGACUACUACAGAUUAAAACAACAAAGUGCCAAGGUUCACAUUAUAAAACAACUUAGUUCAUUACUUGAGAAUAAAUAUAUCGAUUUCCUUUAAAAAAUGGUUCAGGGGCCAGGAACCAUGGCUCACGCGUGUAAUCCCUAGCGCUGUGGGAGGCUGAGGUGGAAGGAUCACAUGAGGCCAAGAAUUUGAGAUCAGCCUGGGCAACAUAGCAAGACCUUGUUUCUAAGAAAGAAAAAUUUUUAAAUUGGCCUGGCGUGGUGGUCUAUGCUUGUAGUGCUAGCUACUGAGGAGGCUGAGGUGGGAGGAUUGCUUGAGCCCAGGAGUUCAAAGCUGCAGUGAGCCACCAUUGUGCCACUGUACUCCAGCCUGGGCAACAGUUAGACAGUGAGACCCUGUCUCCAAAAAAAA